UUCGCUUUCAAACACAUGUUUUGCCUUUUCGUUGUCAACUGCUGCCACAUUGAAAAAUCAGGCAGCAGGAAAAUCUGGAGCGAAACAACAAAGGCAAAAAACAACAAGUAAUACGUUGUUUGCAUCCUGCAAAAGCACUAGGUGUGGCCGAGGGAUCCAGAAAAAGGAAAACAUUUGUCGACUUAUGUGCCAGCGAGAUCUUAAAGGUUAAACUGGAAACGCACGAAAAUCGACCCAAAAUGGGGGUCUAUUGCAUAUAUGCACAUAUGUAUCGCAAAAAAUUGGAAAAGGGAAUGAAGAGGCCAAAGAACGACCUCAAUUUAUUUAACUGAUUGGAACCCAUUCGAUGAAUGAAUUGUAUUUCGUAUGAACAUGUGACGUUCAUUUGAGACCGAAGACCACAAUAAUACCAUUACCACCAAGAAGAAUAAAAGAGGAACUCUCCCAAUCCCUCUGCCUACUCAAAAAACUGAAAAAAUCCACCCACAACCACUCGAAACCCACAUAAAAGGAGAGUGAAAAUGCAUUAGGCUUUGAGCACAUACAGAAACAGAAAACUGGCAACAGCGCACGAAGAGGUCUUGAACCAAAACCAUAAUUUAUCUAUCUCUGGAACUUCAAAGAAAAAAUCAUUUUCACUUUAAAUAAAUUGUAAAUAUUGUAAAUAUUUUGCAUUUAACUCGGUUCACAACUGUAUAUAAAACAUAAAUACAACAUUAAUAAAAGUUGUUACACUACGCCCCUUUUAAA